CCUACGGGCGGGCAGCAGUGGGGAAUAUUGGACAAUGGGCGAAAGCCUGAUCCAGCCAUGCCGCGUGUGUGAAGAAGGCCUUCGGGUUGUAAAGCACUUUCAGUGGGGAAGAAAGCCUUGGGGCUAAUACCCUCGAGGAAGGACAUCAUCCACAGAAGAAGCACCGGCUAACUCCGUGCCAGCAGCCGCGGUAAUACGGAGGGGCGAGCGUUAAUCGGAAUUACUGGGCGUAAAGCGCGCGUAGGCGGUCUGAUAAGCCGGUUGUGAAAGCCCCGGGCUCAACCUGGGAACGGCAUCCGGAACUGUCAGGCUAGAGUGCAGGAGAGGAAGGUAGAAUUCCCGGUGUAGCGGUGAAAUGCGUAGAGAUCGGGAGGAAUACCAGUGGCGAAGGCGGCCUUCUGGACUGAAACUGACGCUGAGGUGCGAAAGCGUGGGUAGCAAACAGGAUUAGAUACCCCGGUAGUC
rnacentral:rRNA from 1 species